AUCGCUUCUCGGCCUUUUGGCUAAGAUCAAGUGUAGUUAUCUUAUGUAUUCUUGAUUUAGAAAGAGGAAUCUUUGGAUUGUAAUUUAUAUUACUGUUUACAAUUCAAAAAAGGAUUA
rnacentral:snRNA from 1 species